rnacentral:rRNA from 1 species
GACGAACCGUGCGAACGUUGUUCGGAAUCACUGGGCUUAAAGGGCGCGUAGGCGGGCCACCAAGUCCGGGGUGAAAUCUUUCGGCUCAACCGGAAAAGUGCCUUGGAUACUGGUGGUCUUGAGCGAGGUAGGGGCAUGUGGAACUUCCGGUGGAGCGGUGAAAUGCGUUGAUAUCGGAAGGAACUCCGGUGGCGAAAGCGACGUGCUGGACCUCUUCUGACGCUGAGGCGCGAAAGCUAGGGGAGCGAACGGG